rnacentral:rRNA from 1 species
AUUGAACGCUGGCGGCAGGCUUAACACAUGCAAGUCGAACGGUAACAUAAAGAAGCUUGCUUCUUUGAUGACGAGUGGCGGACGGGUGAGUAAUGCUUGGGAAUCUAGCUUAUGGAGGGGGAUAACUACGGGAAACUGUAGCUAAUACCGCGUAGAAUCGAGAGAUGAAAGUGUGGGACCUUCGGGCCACAUGCCAUAGGAUGAGCCCAAGUGGGAUUAGGUAGUUGGUGAGGUAAAGGCUCACCAAGCCGACGAUCUCUAGCUGGUCUGAGAGGAUGACCAGCCACACUGGGACUGAGACACGGCCCAGACUCCUACGGGAGGCAGCAGUGGGGAAUAUUGCGCAAUGGGGGCAACCCUGACGCAGCCAUGCCGCGUGAAUGAAGAAGGCCUUCGGGUUGUAAAGUUCUUUCGGUAGCGAGGAAGGCAUUUAGUUUAAUAGACUAGGUGAUUGACGUUAACUACAGAAGAAGCACCGGCUAACUCCGUGCCAGCAGCCGCGGUAAUACGGAGGGUGCGAGCGUUAAUCGGAAUAACUGGGCGUAAAGGGCACGCAGGCGGUGACUUAAGUGAGGUGUGAAAGCCCCGGGCUUAACCUGGGAAUUGCAUUUCAUACUGGGUCGCUAGAGUACUUUAGGGGGGGGUAGAAUUCCACGUGUAGCGGUGAAAUGCGUAGAGAUGUGGAGGAAUACCGAAGGCGAAGGCAGCCCCUUGGGAAUGUACUGACGCUCAUGUGCGAAAGCGUGGGGAGCAAACAGG